UUCUUCUUCUUCUUCUCCUCCUCCAAUUCUCCAGUCUCUUUCUUCUCUGCAGCAAUCUCCUUUGCUGGCUCGCUUGCAGCAGCCAUGCUAGCAACUGUAGAAUCCCCUCCUGUGGGCAAAACCAAAUUCCUCAUCCAUUCUUGAGGGGUAUUCCCAUUUGGCUUCCCAUGCUUAUCCAACUUCCCCUCUGCAAUCAAUUUCUUCUUCAUCGAAGCCUUUGGUCCCAACCCCCACUUCCUUGGGUAAGUAUCCCGAUCCAUCACAACCCUCUUAAUCUUUGCCACGACACCAUGAUCACAUGUAGCCAUCACCGCAGUAGUCAUCUCUGCAAUCCCCAAAGCAAUCGCCUCACCCUUGGUAGUCAUCAGGACAACUUCCUCACCAACCCCAAUAUCAUUCUCAAACCUCAACAAUCCUGGAAUCAUCAGCUUAGCACCAUAACAAAUUGCAUUCACGGCAGAAUCCUUCACAACCAAUCUCUUAUAACUAGUCAAAAGCACUUCAAGAGGCAUAAUCACUCUCCUCAAAUAGCUCUCAUCCCUAUAAUUGUCAUAAACCCAUUGAGCAUCCAUCACAUCAUGCAUAGUCACCAUAUUAUCUCUCUCCCCCAAAAUCCCAGACCUCACUCUCCUCAACUCCUGCAUAUGCCCACCAACACCAAGAAUCAAUCCCAAAUGAACGCACAUAGUCCUAACAUAAGUCCCAGCUUCACAAGAAAUCCAAAAAACAACCAAAUGCCUAUCUGGGUCAUACUCCAACAACUUACUCUCAUAAAUUGUCCGAAUCCUAAGCUGCCUUUUCACAGCAGAAAUCAAUGGCGGUCUUUGAAAAACCGCACCAGUAAGAGUCUCAAGCGCUCUAGCUACUUUGGCAACAUCAGGCACCUUAUCAUGUAAUCUUGCUACACAAACAUACUCCUUACCCGCACCUUGUUGAGAUUUAACAAGGCGGGUAGCUCUAUCAAUACAAACAAUCAAGUUACCUGUAACUUUAGGGUCCAAUGUGCCACUAUGCCCUGUUUUCUCGACCCUCAAAAUCCGUUUGAUCCAAGCAACCACUUCGUGCGAAGAUGGGUUCGCAGGCUUAUCAAGAUUCAUAACACCAUAGCGGAUGUACUCGGCAAGAGGACGCUUGAGAGGAGAGUAACCAGAAGGGAGAGGCGUGUAGUGACCAGUACGAACAUUGAGGCGGUCGUAGUUCUUCAAGAGAAUUGGCCAUUGGGAAGUGUCAAUUGCCGGAGUAAAGCUUUGGGGCUUGAUCAUGAAGUCUCCAGCGGCAGCAUCCGAGCCCUUUGGCUUUGUAUCUGGUUCGUCCAUAGCUUGGGUGUUGUUCUUUUUCUUGUGCUUUUUCUUUUCUGAACGGGAAAGCUCAACUUCGGACAUGGCUCAGUGUCUUUAGCAGCUAUGGUUUAUUAGGGUUUUUGUGGGAUUUUAGAGGUGGCGAUCAGAGCAGUAGGUUUUAAGGUGAAAGCGGAAUUUAUAGGGUUAGGGUUUUGGGGUUUUGGAAGAAGGGGCUUAGAGGGAGAGAAGGGCUAUUUCGG
rnacentral:misc_RNA from 1 species